GAUGAACGCUGGCGGCGUGCCUAAUACAUGCAAGUCGAGCGAACAGACGAGGCGCUUGUUCCUCUGACGUUAGCGGAGGACGGGUGUGAAACACGUGGAUCACCCCCCUAUCAGACUGGGAAAACUAGGGGAAACCGGCGAUAAUCCGGGAUAAUAUCUUGCACCGCAGGGUUGAAUAGUGAAAGUCGGUUUUGCUGUAACUUCUAGCUGCUUAUGAGCCGCAUUAGCUGGUUGGUACGGUAAAGGCUUACGAAGGGUACGAUGCGUAGCCGACGUGUGAGGGUGAUCGGCCACACUAGAGCUGAGACGCGGUCCUGACUCCUACGGGAGGCAGCAGAAGGGAAUCGUCCGCAAUGGGCGAAAGCCUGACGGAGCAAGGCCACGUGAGUGAUGAAAGUCUUCGGAGCGGAAUACUCUGUUAUGAGUGAAGAACAAAUUUGUAAGGAACUAAGCACUGCUUGACGGUACCUAAUCAGGAAGCAACGGCUAACUACGUG
rnacentral:rRNA from 1 species